AGUUUUCCUUGGGUGACCUUCCGGAAGGAUCAUUG
rnacentral:rRNA from 1 species